CUUAUGGUGCCGGAGUUUACGGAACGCUUUGAUGUGGCGGUUACGGUAGGACAUACCUCAUAAGG
rnacentral:tRNA from 1 species